GACGAACGCUGGCGGCGUGCUUAACACAUACAAGUCGAACGGAAAGGCCCUGCUUUUGUGGGGUGCUCGAGUGGCGAACGGGUGAGUAACACGUGAGUAACCUGCCCUUGACUUUGGGAUAACUUCAGGAAACUGGGGCUAAUACCGGAUAGGAGCUCCUGCUGCAUGGUGGGGGUUGGAAAGUUUCGGCGGUUGGGGAUGGACUCGCGGCUUAUCAGCUUGUUGGUGGGGUAGUGGCUUACCAAGGCUUUGACGGGUAGCCGGCCUGAGAGGGUGACCGGCCACAUUGGGACUGAGAUACAGCCCAGACUCCUACGGGAGGCAGCAGUGGGGAAUAUUGCACAAUGGGCGGAAGCCUGAUGCAGCAACGCCGCGUGCGGGAUGACGGCCUUCGGGUUGUAAACCGCUUUCGCCUGUGACGAAGCGUGAGUGACGGUAAUGGGUAAAGAAGCACCGGCUAACUACGUG
rnacentral:rRNA from 1 species